rnacentral:lncRNA from 1 species
AUGUUUUAGGUGACACAGGAACCUCCAGAAAUGAAGACCUAAAGAAACGAGGAAAUUGGUUAUAUGUUUAUGCUCAAGCUUGGUGAAGGCUGGACCAUGAUGCAGAAGCAGGAUGGACGAAAGUGGGCUUGAUCUAAUGGCAGUAACUGGGGGUAGUAAAUACCCAAGAAAGUCUACCAUGGUAAGUGUUAGGUCCUUAGACCAAAGUAACUCCAUUUUGAAAAUCAGCACCUUCAUUUUGAAAAUCAGCACCCAAGCAUGACCUUCUCAUUAGGCCCGCCCCCCAAAGAGUCCCUACCUACCAAAACCACAACAAAGGCGUCAAGUAACAAUCACAGGACCAGAUGGGUUAUUUUUUAGCUACUCCAUUGUACAUGACUAUAUAGUUAAGAAGUUUUUACCUGCAGGCUGCUGCACCUUACAGAAGGGCAGCCUAGCAGAUAUUCUCUGUCAAUAAACCUUUGUUUGACUCAGAG